GAGCGCAUAGCUUAAUGGUAGAGCGUAGGACCGAUAAUCCUAAGGCUGUAGGUUCAAGUCCUGCUGUGCUCA
rnacentral:tRNA from 1 species